rnacentral:rRNA from 1 species
AGUGAACGCUGGCGGUAUGCCUAACACAUGCAAGUCGAACGGCAGCACAGUAAGAGCUUGCUCUUACGGGUGGCGAGUGGCGGACGGGUGAGGAAUACAUCGGCAUCUACUUUUUCGUGGGGGAUAACGGAGGGAAACUUACGCUAAUACCGCAUACGACCUACGGGUGAAAGCAGGGGAUCUUCGGACCUUGCGCGAUUCAAUGAGCCGAUGUCGGAUUAGCUAGUUGGCGGGGUAAAGGCCCACCAAGGCGACGAUCCGUAGCUGGUCUGACAGGAUGAUCAGCCACACUGGAACUGAGACACGGUCCAGACUCCUACGGGAGGCAGCAGUGGGGAAUAUUGGACAAUGGGCGCAAGCCUGAUCCAGCCAUACCGCAUGGGUGAAGAAGGCCUUCGGGUUGUAAAGCCCUUUUGUUGGGAAAGAAAAGCAGCGGGUUAAUACCCCGCUGUUCUGACGGUACCCAAAGAAUAAGCACCGGCUAACUUCGUG